UAACUUAAGAGUUUGAUUCUGGCUCAGGACGAACGCUGGCGGCAUGCCUUACACAUGCAAGUCGAACGGAAGUAGAAAUACUUUAGUGGCGAACGGGUGAGUAACACGUGAGCAACCUACCUUUUACAGGGGGAUAACACAUAGAAAUGUGUGCUAAUACCGCAUAAGACCACGUUUCCGAAUGGGAGCGAGGCAAAAGGAGAGAUCCGGUAGAAGAUGGGCUCGCGGCCUAUUAGUUAGUUGGCGGGAUAAAGGCCCACCAAGACGUCGAUGGGUAACCGACCUGAGAGGGUGAACGGUCACACUGGAACUGAGAUACGGUCCAGACUCCUACGGGAGGCAGCAGUGGGGAAUAUUGGGCAAUGGAGGGAACUCUUACCCAGCAAUGCCGCGUGAGUGAAGAAGGUCUUCGGAUUGUAAAGCUCUUUGAUUGGUGAAGAAAGAAAUGACGGUAGCCAAGGAACAAGCUCCGGCUAACUACGUGCCAGCAGCCGCGGUAAUACGUAGGGAGCAAGCGUUGUCCGGAAUGACUGGGCGUAAAGGGUGUGUAGGCGGCAAGACAAGUUAGAAGUGAAAUUCCCAGAGCUUAACUCGGGAGCUGCUUCUAAAACUGUAGAGCUUGAGUACGGUAGAGGUAAAUGGAAUUCCUAGUGUAGCGGUGGAAUGCGUAGAUAUUAGGAGGAACACCAGAGGCGAAGGCGAUUUACUGGACCGCAACUGACGCUGAGGCACGAAAGUGCGGGGAGCAAACAGGAUUAGAUACCCUGGUAGUCCGCACCGUAAACGAUGGAUACUGGCUGUAGGAGGUAUCGACUCCUUCUGCGGCGAAGCAAACGCGAUAAGUAUCCCGCCUGGGGAGUACGGCCGCAAGGUUGAAACUCAAAGAAAUUGACGGGGACCCGCACAAGCAGCGGAGCGUGUUGUUUAAUUCGAAGAUACUCGAAGAACCUUACCAAGACUUGACAUCGUAUGACCGUCGUAGAAAUAUGAUUUUCCUCAGCGAUGAGGACAUAUAGACAGGUGGUGCAUGGUUGUCGUCAGCUCGUGUCGUGAGAUGUUGGGUUAAGUCCCGCAACGAGCGCAACCCUCAUAAUUAGUUGCCAAUAUUAAGUUAGGAACUCUGAUUAGACUGCCGUGGAUAUAACACGGAGGAAGGCGGGGAUGACGUCAAAUCAUCAUGCCCCUUACGUCUUGGGCUACAAACGCGCUACAAUGGCUGUUACAAAGAGCGGCGAAGCAGAAAUGCGGAGCAAAUCUCAAAAAAGCAGUCUCAGUUCAGAUUGUGGGCUGCAACCCGCCCACAUGAAGAUGGAGUUGCUAGUAAUCCCGAAUCAGCAUGUCGGGGUGAAUGCGUUCCCGGGUCUUGUACACACCGCCCGUCACGCCAUGGGAGUUGGUAGUACCCAAAGUCGGUGAGCUAACCGUUAAGGAGGCAGCCGCCUAAGGUAAGACCAAUGACUGGGGUGAAGUCGUAACAAGGUAGCCGUACCGGAAGGUGCGGCUGGAUCACCUCCUUU
rnacentral:rRNA from 1 species